rnacentral:rRNA from 1 species
UACGUAGGGGGCAAGCGUUGUCCGGAAUUAUUGGGCGUAAAGAGCGUGUAGGCGGCCAGAUAGGUCCGUUGUGAAAACUGGAGGCUUAACCUCCAGCCGUCGAUGGAAACCAUUUGGCUAGAGUCCGGAAGAGGAGAGUGGAAUUCCUGGUGUAGCGGUGAAAUGCGCAGAUAUCAGGAAGAACACCCGUGGCGAAGGCGGCUCUCUGGGACGGUACUGACGCUGAGACGCGAAAGCGUGGGGAGCGAACAGG